GGGUUGUGAGGUUAAGCGACUAAGCGUACACGGUGGAUGCCCUGGCAGUCAGAGGCGAUGAAGGACGUGCUAAUCUGCGAUAAGCGUCGGUAAGGUGAUAUGAACCGUUAUAACCGGCGAUUUCCGAAUGGGGAAACCCAGUGUGUUUCGACACACUAUCAUUAACUGAAUCCAUAGGUUAAUGAGGCGAACCGGGGGAACUGAAACAUCUAAGUACCCCGAGGAAAAGAAAUCAACCGAGAUUCCCCCAGUAGCGGCGAGCGAACGGGGAGCAGCCCAGAGCCUGAAUCAGUAUGUGUGUUAGUGGAAGCGUCUGGAAAGGCGCGCGAUACAGGGUGACAGCCCCGUACACAAAAAUGCACAUAUUGUGAGCUCGAUGAGUAGGGCGGGACACGUGGUAUCCUGUCUGAAUAUGGGGGACCAUCCUCCAAGGCUAAAUACUCCUGACUGACCGAUAGUGAACCAGUACCGUGAGGGAAAGGCGAAAAGAACCCCGGCGAGGGGAGUGAAAAAGAACCUGAAACCGUGUACGUACAAGCAGUGGGAGCACGCUUAGGCGUGUGACUGCGUACCUUUUGUAUAAUGGGUCAGCGACUUAUAUUCUGUAGCAAGGUUAACCGAAUAGGGGAGCCGAAGGGAAACCGAGUCUUAACUGGGCGUUAAGUUGCAGGGUAUAGACCCGAAACCCGGUGAUCUAGCCAUGGGCAGGUUGAAGGUUGGGUAACACUAACUGGAGGACCGAACCGACUAAUGUUGAAAAAUUAGCGGAUGACUUGUGGCUGGGGGUGAAAGGCCAAUCAAACCGGGAGAUAGCUGGUUCUCCCCGAAAGCUAUUUAGGUAGCGCCUCGUGAAUUCAUCUCCGGGGGUAGAGCACUGUUUCGGCAAGGGGGUCAUCCCGACUUACCAACCCGAUGCAAACUGCGAAUACCGGAGAAUGUUAUCACGGGAGACACACGGCGGGUGCUAACGUCCGUCGUGAAGAGGGAAACAACCCAGACCGCCAGCUAAGGUCCCAAAGUCAUGGUUAAGUGGGAAACGAUGUGGGAAGGCCCAGACAGCCAGGAUGUUGGCUUAGAAGCAGCCAUCAUUUAAAGAAAGCGUAAUAGCUCACUGGUCGAGUCGGCCUGCGCGGAAGAUGUAACGGGGCUAAACCAUGCACCGAAGCUGCGGCAGCGACGCUGAUGCGUUGUUGGGUAGGGGAGCGUUCUGUAAGCCUGCGAAGGUGUGCUGUGAGGCAUGCUGGAGGUAUCAGAAGUGCGAAUGCUGACAUAAGUAACGAUAAAGCGGGUGAAAAGCCCGCUCGCCGGAAGACCAAGGGUUCCUGUCCAACGUUAAUCGGGGCAGGGUGAGUCGACCCCUAAGGCGAGGCCGAAAGGCGUAGUCGAUGGGAAACAGGUUAAUAUUCCUGUACUUGGUGUUACUGCGAAGGGGGGACGGAGAAGGCUAUGUUGGCCGGGCGACGGUUGUCCCGGUUUAAGCGUGUAGGCUGGUUUUCCAGGCAAAUCCGGAAAAUCAAGGCUGAGGCGUGAUGACGAGGCACUACGGUGCUGAAGCAACAAAUGCCCUGCUUCCAGGAAAAGCCUCUAAGCAUCAGGUAACAUCAAAUCGUACCCCAAACCGACACAGGUGGUCAGGUAGAGAAUACCAAGGCGCUUGAGAGAACUCGGGUGAAGGAACUAGGCAAAAUGGUGCCGUAACUUCGGGAGAAGGCACGCUGAUAUGUAGGUGAAGUCCCUCGCGGAUGGAGCUGAAAUCAGUCGAAGAUACCAGCUGGCUGCAACUGUUUAUUAAAAACACAGCACUGUGCAAACACGAAAGUGGACGUAUACGGUGUGACGCCUGCCCGGUGCCGGAAGGUUAAUUGAUGGGGUCAGCGCAAGCGAAGCUCUUGAUCGAAGCCCCGGUAAACGGCGGCCGUAACUAUAACGGUCCUAAGGUAGCGAAAUUCCUUGUCGGGUAAGUUCCGACCUGCACGAAUGGCGUAAUGAUGGCCAGGCUGUCUCCACCCGAGACUCAGUGAAAUUGAACUCGCUGUGAAGAUGCAGUGUACCCGCGGCAAGACGGAAAGACCCCGUGAACCUUUACUAUAGCUUGACACUGAACAUUGAGCCUUGAUGUGUAGGAUAGGUGGGAGGCUUUGAAGUGUGGACGCCAGUCUGCAUGGAGCCGACCUUGAAAUACCACCCUUUAAUGUUUGAUGUUCUAACGUUGACCCGUAAUCCGGGUUGCGGACAGUGUCUGGUGGGUAGUUUGACUGGGGCGGUCUCCUCCUAAAGAGUAACGGAGGAGCACGAAGGUUGGCUAAUCCUGGUCGGACAUCAGGAGGUUAGUGCAAUGGCAUAAGCCAGCUUGACUGCGAGCGUGACGGCGCGAGCAGGUGCGAAAGCAGGUCAUAGUGAUCCGGUGGUUCUGAAUGGAAGGGCCAUCGCUCAACGGAUAAAAGGUACUCCGGGGAUAACAGGCUGAUACCGCCCAAGAGUUCAUAUCGACGGCGGUGUUUGGCACCUCGAUGUCGGCUCAUCACAUCCUGGGGCUGAAGUAGGUCCCAAGGGUAUGGCUGUUCGCCAUUUAAAGUGGUACGCGAGCUGGGUUUAGAACGUCGUGAGACAGUUCGGUCCCUAUCUGCCGUGGGCGCUGGAGAACUGAGGGGGGCUGCUCCUAGUACGAGAGGACCGGAGUGGACGCAUCACUGGUGUUCGGGUUGUCAUGCCAAUGGCACUGCCCGGUAGCUAAAUGCGGAAGAGAUAAGUGCUGAAAGCAUCUAAGCACGAAACUUGCCCCGAGAUGAGUUCUCCCUGACCCUUUAAGGGUCCUGAAGGAACGUUGAAGACGACGACGUUGAUAGGCCGGGUGUGUAAGCGCAGCGAUGCGUUGAGCUAACCGGUACUAAUGAACCGUGAGGCUUAACCUUACAACGCCGAAGCUGUU
rnacentral:rRNA from 1 species